rnacentral:misc_RNA from 1 species
UUAUUAUUAUUAUUAUUAUUAUUGCGUGUUUUUAAAAUUUAUUUUUCUAUGUUAUGUUUUAUGAGUUUUGGAUUGAUUCUUUAUGGUGCCUUGAAUUAGGAAAAACAAGUGGCGAAAAAUCAUCCUUGGAAAGCUUCGCAAUUUGAGAUUUUGUUAGGGAUUUUGUUGUCAAUUUCGUGGAAGAGCCCUUUCUGAUUUAGGUUUUUUUGUUAUUUGGAUCUCAGGGAUUGCAUAAACCAGGUUAAUAUCAUCUGGGGUUGAAUUUUACAGGCAAUCAUGUCAGUCACAGCCGGUGUCAGUGAUAUUGCUCUAGCUGUCAGGGACAAGCUUAGAGGUAAAAUUGGGCAAACUAAAGUUAAAAGGUAUUGGCCUGGCAAAGCACCCGAGUGGGCUGAUGAUGCUGAUGAAGAUGGGGAUAUCAAAAUGGCUAGGGCAGAUGCCCUGGAGAAAGCUUUUCCUACUCAGGAAGAUUCAGAUUUUGCUAGGAAAGAUGAUCCUAGACUGCGUCGUCUGGCUGAGAGCAGGAUUGAUAACCGUGACGAAGUGAGAGCUGAUCACCGGCGCAUCCGGCAAGCUGAAAUUAUUGCAACAGAAGAGGAGGAAACCCGGAGACAAGAAUGGGCAGAUAUGGAGGAAGAGAAUGAGGAAGCCUUGGAGGAAAGAAGAAGAAGAAUUAAGGAGAAGUCACGUCUGAGAGAGCAAGAAGAAGCUGCACUUCCGGCUGAAGAAGAGGAGGAAGAAGCGGAAGAAGAGGAGGAAGAGGAAUCUGAAUAUGAAACUGACUCUGAAGAAGAAACAAUGGGUUUGGCCAUGGUCAAGCCAAUCUUUGUGCCAAAGUCUGAGAGAGAAACCAUAGCUGAGCGUGAGCGGCUUGAGGCUGAAGAACGAGCUAUUGAGGAAAAGGAAAGGAGGAAAUUGGAGGAAAGGAAGGUGGAGACAAAGCAAAUAUUGGUUGAGGAGAUUCAGAAGGAGGAACUAAUUCAGAAGAAUUUGGAAAUGGAGGCAAAUAUUGCCGAUGUGGACACCGAUGAUGAAGUCAAUGAGGCAGAGGAGUAUGAGGCUUGGAAGGUGAGAGAGAUUGCAAGGAUCAAAAGGGAUAGAGAUGAUCGUGAGGCAAUGUUGAAGGAGAAAGAAGAGAUUGAGAAGGUGAGAAACAUGACAGAUGAAGAGAGGAGGGAGUGGGAGAGGAAAAAUCCGAAACCUGCCGCACUACCAAAGCAGAAGUGGAGGUUCAUGCAGAAAUACUACCAUAAGGGUGCUUUCUUCCAGAAUGAGGCUGAUGAUACUGCUGCCACUACUGGAACAGAUUCAAUUUACAAGCGUGAUUUCUCCGCCCCAACUGGAGAAGAUAAGAUGGACAAAUCCAUAUUACCUAAAGUUAUGCAAGUCAAACACUUCGGCCGUAGUGGAAGAACCAAAUGGACGCAUCUUGUCAAUGAGGAUACAACUGAUUGGAACAACCCUUUCUGGAGGUUGCCUGCAAAAGUUUGGGUAAAAUAAGCCGCUUUGCGGCUGGUACCAGGGCAGGAUUUGCUGUGUCUUUGAUAAACAGGAAGUUAGAAGCUGGAGCCGCUCUUGUUUUGCAUAUUGAAGCAGUUAAAAGAGGGGGAGGAACCCAUAAGUUUUGGGCCUGAUGCGAUUCUUGUGGAUUAUAGCAAUGGCUGGAAGCUGCAAACUGUUACUGAUUUGGAUUUUGGUGGUGUUAGAAAAGCAGAAAGCAUUCAGCUGAUUCCAACACAAGCCCCUAAUUUAGUAUGAUCUUCUUUCUUAUCUGUUUGGAAUUUUCUGUGUUGUCUGUUUGAGUGUGUUGGUGGAUCUGAGAUUUGAGAUUUUUAUUGGUGAAGCCAGUUAUUCACUGCAAAAAUUAAAUCUUUGUUUCUAUGUUUGUUGCAAUGACAUUAUUUCUAUGAACCAUUAAUCCAUGGAAAAUAGUGUGGAAUAUGGAUGGUUCUAGUGGACUUCUUCUGGGAAAAUUACAAAGACGGAAUCGGUAUUUUUUUUCCAUUCAAAUAUUUUUGCCUACACAUGUCGGGUAGCUAAUUGCAUAUUAGAAAUUCGAGAUAUUCAUAUAUAAAUUCUUCAAACUACUGGUCCAGCAACAUUUUCCGAUGUGUUACUGAAGAAUUUGAUUGCAAAAUUAACUGCAAGCAAGGAUAGCUCUCCAAAAGGCUCCACCUUUCUUCUUAGUUUAGAUAACAGAUGGCCCCAAUUUUGGUGAAUAGCCAUCUUUUGGUUGGAUUCAUUUGAAUGGCUUGGUUAAGAUCUAGAGCAUCCUAGUAUGUGAUUCAUGUGUGCAUAUAUUUUCAAUUCUUUAUCAAUCAAUAACAAGGGGCUUUCAACAUGGUUAAUGCAGAGUUCUAUGAAGUUCAGAAAAAUGCUAUAGCUUUUAGAUUAGUAACCCUAUCUUGACAAGUUCUUAUAUCAUUGGAAAAGCUAAAAUUGUAUCCUAAAAUCAUGGUUGCUGCUUUACCAUACUAUUGCAGUCCAUAAAUAUGGAAUGCCAGAGAAACUAGUGUAGGAUAACCCUCAGAUUUUUUUUUUCUUUUUUUCGUGUUAUACAUACUGGUUGGUAAGGGCGGAGGCAUUGGUUGACUGGGGGGACAUCGCCUCCCCAAUUUUUUUUUUUUAAAAAAAAUUAUUUAGCUAUUAAUAAAAAUUUUGCAACAUGGCCCCUUCAAAAAUUUUAUGUGGUCUCCCCAAUUAUAUGGUUAUCCACCUUGUUGAUAGAUUGAUUCAUCUUGUUUUAACUCUUCUGGUAUUUAUGACUACUAAACAUUCAUUCUCGGCUAUGAAAAUGGUGAAAACAAAACUUUGCUACAAAAGUGGAAGAUAAAUUUCUUGUAAAUAAUUUGGUUUUUUAUAUUGAAAGGGAGAUUGUUAAGACAUUCAAUUCACAUUUCAUUCUUGAUGAUUGGGUUUCUCUUAAAAAAAA